rnacentral:rRNA from 1 species
CAGCCGCCACGGUAAUACGGAGGGUGCAAGCGUUAAUCGGAAUUACUGGGCGUAAAGCGCACGCAGGCGGUUUGUUAAGUCAGAUGUGAAAUCCCCGAGCUUAACUUGGGAACUGCAUUUGAAACUGGCAAGCUAGAGUCUUGUAGAGGGGGGUAGAAUUCCAGGUGUAGCGGUGAAAUGCGUAGAGAUCUGGAGGAAUACCGGUGGCGAAGGCGGCCCCCUGGACAAAGACUGACGCUCAGGUGCGAAAGCGUGGGGAGCGAACAGGAUUAGAUACCCGCGUAGUCCCUGUCUCUUAUAC